rnacentral:lncRNA from 1 species
AUGGAAAGAAUGUCUUUACAGAAGAAAACUGAGAUCAAGGAGAGCUCUACCUCUAUGAUUCCCUUUGGGAAGGCAUCCCCUCUUGGAUUCUCUGAGGAUGGCACUGAUACUAGAGUUAGUGUCGAUGCCAGUUCAUCUACACCACAGACAGCCAUGCCUUUGGAAUAUUUACCAUACUUUAGAACAUAUGAAGGGACCGAUGUUCAACCACCAACCUUGAAUUUAGGUGUUUGCCUACAGGAGGAAGAAAUCACUAAGGAAAAAGAAUACAGGAGUAUAGUCAAUGUUAGACAUAAGGAGGACCAGAAAGACUUUGUUCCCUCCAGUGGAUAUUUUUCAUAUUAUAGAUCUCAGGAGGAAUACUUUGUCAACCCACUUCUCCAGAGCAAAACCCACAGUGGAAAAUCCAAAACUGAAGAAAGAAGAGGAAAUACCAAUAAAACAUUUGAAUCCACUAAUAACCAUAGAGUAAGUUCCAUUUGGAAUCCCUCCCUCAUGACUUUGCCCACAAGAUCUGUCAAACUCUUUCCUCACAAAGGUUUAAAUGGGGAAAGGAAAGAAUGCCUGUUCCUGUAAACUUCUUAGGUAGAGCCAAAUUCUGGGGUAUUUGGGGUUGCCUGUGGCCUAAGGUAAUGCAGGAAAGUGCAAAAGAUACUGGCUCCUAAUCCCAGGCUGGCUACUCAGCAACUACAUAGCCUUGGGCUAAUCAUUCUCUGGAUCUGUUUUCUUGUCUGUCAAAUGAAAUUAAUAGUACCUGCUCUGCCUAUCUCACUGGGCUGCUGUGAGGACCAGAUAAUGAAAACACCUGAUAUUUAUAGGAGAUUUUAAGUACUUUGCCUCCAUUAUCUCCUUUGAUACUCAUGACAGCUUUGUGGGGUAAGUCCUAGAGGUGUAUUUAUCUUCAUUCUACAAAUUAG